GCCUCUGUAUAGCUCAGUUGGUUAGAGCGCUGCACCAGAAUCGCAGGGUCCGCGCAGGUUCAAUUCAUGCCAGGGACC